rnacentral:lncRNA from 15 species
GAGCAGGAGGUGCAGCAGGGCUUGGUGCUAGACGCUGUGGGAGCAGCACUGAGAGGUGGCAGGUUGGUGACGGUGUUACAUGAGGAAGUGUCUGAAAACAUCAGCAGUCGGACGAAUAACAACACUAUGAACAUUAAGAGCAAGAAGUGGGCCAAGGCCACAUGGCACGUUGAUCAAAGAGGCUGGGGGAAGGCAUACGUCGAGUCUUUUCACUUAUACCCGCUGGUACAAGGUGUGUGUGAGCGGCUGGGAGGCAGGAAGAGACGAGCUUAUACUCUCAGACAACAUGACCACAGGCUACAGACAGAGACAAACAAGGAUCUAAGGGAGCAGGCAGUCAUUUUGGAUAAAAGGGUGAAUUCAGCAAGGAGCACAUUCAAC